rnacentral:rRNA from 1 species
GGUCCCAAAGUGAGUGUUAAGUGGAAAAGGAUGUGGGAUUUCGAAGACAACUAGGAUGUUGGCUCAGAAGCAGCCAUACAUUCAAAGAGUGCGUAAUAGCUCACUAGUCGAGAGGUCCUGCGCCGAAAAUGUCCGGGGCUAAAACACGACACCGAAGCUGUGGAUCCGAAAGGAUGGUAGAGGAGCAUUCUUAAGUCGACGAAGCUGUACUGUAAGGAGCAGUGGAGAGUUAAGAAGAGAGAAUGCCGGAAUGAGUAGCGAGAUUUAAGUGAGAAUCUUAAAGGCCGAAUAUCUAAGGUUUCCAGGGUAAAGCUGAUCUUCCCUGGGUAAGUCGGGGCCUAAGGCGAGGGCGAGAGCCGUAGUCGAUGGAUAACAGGUUGAAAUUCCUGUACUGCUUAUGAACAGAACUGUGGGGACGCAGAAGGAGAGCACGAGCCGGAAAUGGAAAAGCCGGUACAAGCGUAUAGCAGUCAUGCAGGCAAAACCGCAUGAAAAAUGUAAAGCGUUAUGUGGAUCGAACAUUAGUAGAGAAGCGUGUGAGCCAGCUGCCAAGAAAAGCCGCUAUUGCUUCAUAAGUACCCGUACCGUAAACCGACACAGGUGGAUGAGGAGAGAAUCCUAAGGCCGGCGGGAGAAGUGUUGUUAAGGAACUCGGCAAAAUGACUCCGUAACUUCGGGAGAAGGAGUGCCACAGAGAUGUGGCCGCAGAGAAAUGGCCCAAGCAACUGUUUAGCAAAAACACAGGUCUAUGCAAAACCGAAAGGUGAGGUAUAUGGGCUGACGCCUGCCCGGUGCUGGAAGGUUAAGAGGAGAGGUUAGAGCAAUCGAAGCUUUGAAUUUAAGCCCCAGUAAACGGCGGCCGUAACUAUAACGGUCCUAAGGUAGCGAAAUUCCUUGUCGGGUAAGUUCCGACCCGCACGAAAGGCGUAAUGAUUUGGGCACUGUCUCAACAACACACCCGGUGAAAUUGAAAUACCAGUGAAGAUGCUGGUUACCUGCGCCAGGACGGAAAGACCCCAUGGAGCUUUACUCCAGUUUGAUACUGGGAUUCGGUACUGUCUGUACAGGAUAGGUGGGAGGCUAGGAAAUGGUGACGCCAGUUGCCAUGGAGCCAACCUUGGGAUACCACCCUUACAGUACUGGGUUUCUAACCUGCAGCCGUAACCCGGCUGGGGGACAAUGUCUGACGGGGAGUUUGACUGGGGCGGUCGCCUCCGAAAGAGUAUCGGAGGCGCUCAAAGGUUCCCUCAGAACGGUUGGAAACCGUUCGAAGAGUGCAAAGGCAGAAGGGAGCUUGACUGCGACACCGACGGGUGGAGCAGAUACGAAAGUAGGACUUAGUGAUCCGGUGGUAUAAAGUGGGAUUGCCAUCGCUCAACGGAUAAAAGCUACCCUGGGGAUAACAGGCUUAUCACUCCCAAGAGUUCACAUCGACGGAGUGGUUUGGCACCUCGAUGUCGGCUCAUCGCAUCCUGGGGCUGUAGCAGGUCCCAAGGGUUGGGCUGUUCGCCCAUUAAAGCGGUACGCGAGCUGGGUUCAGAACGUCGUGAGACAGUUCGGUCC